CCUCUGGAGGGUUCUGAGAGGACAGUGAUAUGACCGGACAGAUCAAGGUGGAGGGGUGAUUCCUACCCCCCUUGUAUCCUCCCUUACAGUCUGGUCACCCCACUUCUCUUUGCCGGCUGCCUUCUGCUUCUCAGCUACUCUGCCAGGCUGCCUGUGGCUUCCAGAAAGUUCCUCUGCCCCAGAAAGCCCUCCAGGAUUGCUCAGGGGAGGCUGCCAGGCUCUGUCUGGGCAGUAGAUGGCCUUUUCUUCAUUUCUUCCCUUCCCAUGAGAGAGAUGCCAAAGAGAGAGAUUGUGAUCCCGCCCCCCCCCUCCCCGGGGCAACCCAAGGACCAGAGUGGGUGAGUCGCUUUCCCAAGGUGUCUCCUCCAAAGGCCACUAUCCUGCCUCCCAUGAGCCCUGCUCCCGUCACCCCAGGUUUUUCACGGAUGCUCCGUCUUCUCUUUUUUUCCUUUUCUUCCUUCUCCUUCCCACUGGGUCUGUGCCCUUUCGGCAAGGGACUGAAGUCCCCCCCUCCGCUGCUUUGGCAUGGGCCUGGGGAGCACCCUUUCAAGGGUAGCACUGGGCUCCCAAGGCUGAGGGCCAGGCCACCGAGGGGGAGCAGCCGCAGCGGGGACUGUGGUAGGGUUCAUUGCUCUAGCUGGCACCCUCCUCUGUACCCAGGCCCUGGAUACUGCCUGCUGUGUAGCAAACUCUGCUGGCGGAGCAGAGCGAUGGAGAAGACGGCGUGGCUUCCCCAGCUAGACCCUGGGAGUUAGCCCCAGGGCUCCGAGUCCCUGGUCCUAGCUUGACUACCGCCUACCAGGUGGCUUUCCACCAGGGACUUCCCUCAUCCGGGCCUCACUCGUUCAAACGGCAACUGUUUAUUGAGAGCCUGCUAUGUGUCAGCCACUGCAUUAGCCUGAGGAUACAGAGGGAGCAAAGACCACCUGGCUCUUGCCCCCACGGAACCCGCAAUCUUGUGGGGAGCAGACGUCAGGUAAAUGGCCAUGCCGAUGCGGUCAGAAGGACAAUGGCCAUCAGUGCACAGGAAAGGGAGAAUGUAACGCCUUGAGAGCAUAUACGGAGCGUUUGAGCAGCCAGGGGAGCUGAGGGGCUUGCCCCAGGGAGGUGAUGGCCAAGCUGAGACCUGAGGGAAUAGAAGAAUAGCCCAGGCAGAGAAAAUAGUCCACGCAAAGGCCCUGUGGUAGGAGGGAGCAUGUCCAAGGAGCUGCAAGAAAUAGACAUGGCUACAGUAGAAAGAACAAAGGGAACGAGUAGAGUAAGAGGUGGGCAGAGGCUGACCGCGUGGUGUCUUCUAGGUCAUGUUUAAAACCAGAUCUAAGGACAGAGGCACCCACUUAGCAUUGCAGGGUUGUGUUGGGGACACAGGAGCUUCUCAGGUUGGCUGUGGAUUGGGGGGUAAGGAGAGGAGAGGUGGGGGAAACCUCGUCAGGAGGUGACGGCAGGGGUCCAGGAGAGGGCUGAUGCUGUCUUGAACUAAGCGUUGGCAAAGGAUUCGUAAGGGGACGAGGACGGUGUCGAGGGGGAGUCCUGGAUUCCUGCCGUCAGGGUUUCCCACCUGUAAAGAGGAAAGACGUGGCUCUACGUUCUCCUGGCAAUGAGUGAAUUCGUGGAGGCAAAACGUCUCCUCCUCGGGAAGGCACUGGAGUGAACUAUACGAACAGCCUGUUAGCCUCCUUGGCUUUGGAAGAUCCGCUUGGCUCCCUGCUCCUCCCCUCAGCCCCAGGGGGGCCCAUAGUGAACACCUGCUUGGUUGCUGGUGCAGGUCUGCCGCGCCCUCGGUUCAUAUACUGGCAUUUGGGGAGAGGCUGCGUUGUUCCGGUGUUCCCUGAGCACUGCUCCACUCAAAAGAGCCCCCGCGAGGGACCAGCCUUGGCCUGCAAAGUACAGAAGUUCAAGUGCAGGAAGGAUUUCCUGGGCCGUGAAGGGGGACAGCUGAGCAGCCGGGAUUCGGGGAAUCAGUUCACGUGCACCCUGCUGUGUGAAAGGUCCAUGGCUGAGGGCCUGGCAGGGGAGGGUCAGGGUCUCAGAGAGGACGAAGGAUCACAGUGAUAGGCCGGCAAACAAAGGCUGUCAGCUCCAUGCAGCUGGCCUGGACAUUUGCACCGCACCGUGAACACAGCCCCUGGCCCAGAGGAGGCCUUCAGUGAAUUCCUGCCGAGCGAAGAGAAUCUUGGUUCCCGGCUCAGCUUCCCAUUUGCUUUUCCUGAACCUGUAGUUCCCUAUCUACAAGAUGGAGUAGUAACCCCAGUACUUCCUGUCUCGUCACAUUGUCACGGGGAGCAAAUGGAACAACGAUGGAUGGCAAAAGCGUUCUGCGAACAUGAUACACAGGCCGCAGCCCAGCACCGUGCCUGGCCUGCGGUGGUGGUGGCUCGGCAUUGAAUAAAUGAGCAAAUGACUCGAUCUCCACCAGAUGUGAGCUCCACGUAGGCAGAGACCUGGCUUGUUUUUCCUUGGCAUUAUUUCCCCAGGGCCUGGCACACUGUAGGUGCCCAAUAAAUAUUUGGAUCGAA